rnacentral:rRNA from 1 species
GACAUAGGUGGCGAACGUUAUCCGGAAUUACUGGGCGUAAAGAGUGCGUAGGUGGUUCAAUAAGUUACUGGUGGGAAAUCGGGGCUCAACCUCGUGGAAGUCAGUAAUACUAUUAAACUAGAGGGUCGGAGAGGUUAACGGAAUUCUAUGUGUAGCGGUAAAAUGCUUAAAUAUAUAGAGGAACACCAAACGGCGAAGGCAGUUAACUAUUCGAUUCCUGACGUUGAGGCACGAAAGCGUGGGGAGCAAGACGGG